AUUGAACGCUGGCGGCGUGCUUUACACAUGCAAGUCGAACGGCAGCACGGGUGCUUGCACCUGGUGGCGAGUGGCGAACGGGUGAGUAAAGCAUCGGAACGUGCCCUGGAAUGGGGGAUAACGUAGCGAAAGUUACGCUAAUACCGCAUAUUCUGUGAGCAGGAAAGCAGGGGAUCGCAAGACCUUGCGUUCUGGGAGCGGCCGAUGUCGGAUUAGCUAGUUGGUGGGGUAAAAGCCUACCAAGGCGACGAUCCGUAGCGGGUCUGAGAGGAUGAUCCGCCACACUGGGACUGAGACACGGCCCAGACUCCUACGGGAGGCAGCAGUGGGGAAUUUUGGGCAAUGGGCGGAAGCCUGAUCCAGCCAUUCCGCGUGAGUGAAGAA
rnacentral:rRNA from 1 species